UUAAUUGAGAGCCAGUAGGGAGUUAGGUAUCCAUUUGUAUUAGGUAACAUAAAAGUUAAGGACUUUGCCACAAAAAAAUCUAGACUUGAGUAACCAUGACUAAAUUAGUAUUCAUUUAUCUAAUUCUUCCUCGAAAUCUUUAUGACCAGCCUCACAAUUUAUUUUUGAAAAUAGCUAUAUUCUCCUUGCAGCCGUGCGGCGAGAGUAGGGUGGUGGCUUCGGAGGUGGGAACCAUGGCAGGACAAGCAUUUAGAAAGUUUCUUCCACUCUUCGAUCGAGUAUUGGUGGAAAGGUGUGCAGCCAAAACUGUAACCAAAGGAGAUAUUAUGCUUUCAGAAAAAUCUCAAGGAAAAGUAUUGCAAGCAACAGUAGUGGCUGUUGGGUCAGGCUCUAAAGGAAAGGGUAGAGAGAUUCAACCAGUUAGUGUGAAAGUUGGAGAUAAAGUUCUUCUCCCAGAAUAUGGAGGCACUAAAGUAGUUCUAGAUGACAAGGGCUAUUUCUUAUUUAGAGAUGGUGACAUUCUUGGAAAGUAUGUAGACUGAAAUAAAUCACUAUUGAAAUGGCAUUGACAUGAAGCUGCCCAUCCCACUGAAGUUCUGAAAUCUUGCAUGAUGUAAAUAAUUUCCAUGUCUCUCUUUUAUAAUAAAUUGAUGAUAUCUAA